rnacentral:rRNA from 1 species
AGAGCGAACGCUGGCGGCAGGCUUAACACAUGCAAGUCGAGCGGGCGUAGCAAUACGUCAGCGGCAGACGGGUGAGUAACGCGUGGGAACAUACCUUUUGGUUCGGAACAACACAGGGAAACUUGUGCUAAUACCGGAUAAGCCCUUACGGGGAAAGAUUUAUCGCCGAAAGAUUGGCCCGCGUCUGAUUAGCUAGUUGGUGAGGUAAUGGCUCACCAAGGCGACGAUCAGUAGCUGGUCUGAGAGGAUGAUCAGCCACAUUGGGACUGAGACACGGCCCAAACUCCUACGGGAGGCAGCAGUGGGGAAUAUUGGACAAUGGGCGCAAGCCUGAUCCAGCCAUGCCGCGUGAGUGAUGAAGGCCCUAGGGUUGUAAAGCUCUUUUGUGCGGGAAGAUAAUGACGGUACCGCAAGAAUAAGCCCCGGCUAACUUCGCGCCAGCAGCCGC